rnacentral:rRNA from 1 species
UCCUACGGGAGGCAGCAGUAGGGAAUCUUCCGCAAUGGACGAAAGUCUGACGGAGUAACGCCGCGUGAGUGAUGAAGGCUUUCGGGUCGUAAAACUCUGUUGUUAGGGAAGAACAAGUACAAGAGUAACUGCUUGUACCUUGACGGUACCUAACCAGAAAGCCACGGCUAACUACGUGCCAGCAGCCGCGGUAAUACGUAGGUGGCAAGCGUUAUCCGGAAUUAUUGGGCGUAAAGCGCGCGCAGGCGGUUUCUUAAGUCUGAUGUGAAAGCCCACGGCUCAACCGUGGAGGGUCAUUGGAAACUGGGGAACUUGAGUGCAGAAGAGAAAAGCGGAAUUCCACGUGUAGCGGUGAAAUGCGUAGAGAUGUGGAGGAACACCAGUGGCGAAGGCGGCUUUUUGGUCUGUAACUGACGCUGAGGCGCGAAAGCGUGGGGAGCAAACAGGAUUAGAUACCCUGGUAGUCCACGCCGUAAACGAUGAGUGCUAAGUGUUAGAGGGUUUCCGCCCUUUAGUGCUGCAGCUAACGCAUUAAGCACUCCGCCUGGGGAGUACGGUCGCAAGACUGAAACUCAAAGGAAUUGACGGGGGCCCGCACAAGCGGCGGAGCAUGUGGAUUAAUUCGAUGCAACGCGAAGAACCUUACCUGGGCUUGACAU